AUACGUAGGGAGCAAGCGUUGUCCGGAAUUACUGGGCGUAAAGGGCGCGUAGGCGGGAAUGCAAGUCAGAUGUGAAAACUCCGGGCUCAACUUGGAGAUUGCAUUUGAAACUGUGUUUCUUGAGGGCAGGAGAGGAAAGUGGAAUUCCUAGUGUAGCGGUGAAAUGCGUAGAUAUUAGGAGGAACACCAGUGGCGAAGGCGACUUUCUGGACUGUACCUGACGCUGAGGCGCGAAAGCGUGGGUAGC
rnacentral:rRNA from 1 species